UUAAGUUAGAAAGGGCGCACGGUGGAUGCCUUGACACUAGGAGUCGAUGGAGGACGGGACUAACGCCGAUGUGCUUCGGGGAGCUGUAAGUAAGCUUUGAUCCGAAGAUUUCCGAAUGGGGAAACCCACCAUACGUAAUGGUAUGGUAUCCUUAUCUGAAUACAUAGGGUAAGGAAGACAGACCCAGGGAACUGAAACAUCUAAGUACCUGGAGGAAGAGAAAGCAAAUGCGAUUUCCUGAGUAGCGGCGAGCGAAACGGAACAUAGCCCAAACCAAGAGGCUUGCCUCUUGGGGUUGUAGGACAUUCUAUACGGAGUUACAAAGGAACGAGGUAGACGAAGCGACCUGGAAAGGUCCGUCGUAGAGGGUAACAACCCCGUAGUCGAAACUUCGUUCUCUCUUGAAUGUAUCCUGAGUACGGCGGAACACGUGAAAUUCCGUCGGAAUCUGGGAGGACCAUCUCCCAAGGCUAAAUACUCCCUAGUGAUCGAUAGUGAACCAGUACCGUGAGGGAAAGGUGAAAAGCACCCCGGAAGGGGAGUGAAAGAGAUCCUGAAACCGUGUGCCUACAAAUAGUCAGAGCCCGUUAACGGGUGAUGGCGUGCCUUUUGUAGAAUGAACCGGCGAGUUACGAUCCCGUGCGAGGUUAAGCUGAAGAGGCGGAGCCGCAGCGAAAGCGAGUCUGAAUAGGGCGUUUAGUACGUGGUCGUAGACCCGAAACCAGGUGAUCUACCCAUGUCCAGGGUGAAGUUCAGGUAACACUGAAUGGAGGCCCGAACCCACGCACGUUGAAAAGUGCGGGGAUGAGGUGUGGGUAGCGGAGAAAUUCCAAUCGAACCUGGAGAUAGCUGGUUCUCCCCGAAAUAGCUUUAGGGCUAGCCUUAAGUGUAAGAGUCUUGGAGGUAGAGCACUGAUUGGACUAGGGGUCCUCAUCGGAUUACCGAAUUCAGUCAAACUCCGAAUGCCAAUGACUUAUCCUUAGGAGUCAGACUGCGAGUGAUAAGAUCCGUAGUCAAAAGGGAAACAGCCCAGACCGCCAGCUAAGGUCCCAAAGUGUGUAUUAAGUGGAAAAGGAUGUGGAGUUGCUUAGACAACUAGGAUGUUGGCUUAGAAGCAGCCACCAUUUAAAGAGUGCGUAAUAGCUCACUAGUCGAGUGACUCUGCGCCGAAAAUGUACCGGGGCUAAAUACACCACCGAAGCUGCGGAUUGAUACCAAUGGUAUCAGUGGUAGGGGAGCGUUCUAAGGACAGUGAAGUCAGACCGGAAGGACUGGUGGAGUGCUUAGAAGUGAGAAUGCCGGUAUGAGUAGCGAAAGACGGGUGAGAAUCCCGUCCACCGAAUGCCUAAGGUUUCCUGAGGAAGGCUCGUCCGCUCAGGGUUAGUCAGGACCUAAGCCGAGGCCGACAGGCGUAGGCGAUGGACAACAGGUUGAUAUUCCUGUACCACCUCUUUAUCGUUUGAGCAAUGGAGGGACGCAGAAGGAUAGAAGAAGCGUGCGAUUGGUUGUGCACGUCCAAGCAGUUAGGCUGAUAAGUAGGCAAAUCCGCUUAUCGUGAAGGCUGAGCUGUGAUGGGGAAGCUCCUUAUGGAGCGAAGUCUUUGAUUCCCCGCUGCCAAGAAAAGCUUCUAGCGAGAUAAAAGGUGCCUGUACCGCAAACCGACACAGGUAGGCGAGGAGAGAAUCCUAAGGUGUGCGAGAGAACUCUGGUUAAGGAACUCGGCAAAAUGACCCCGUAACUUCGGGAGAAGGGGUGCUUUCUUAACGGAAAGCCGCAGUGAAUAGGCCCAAGCGACUGUUUAGCAAAAACACAGCUCUCUGCGAAGCCGUAAGGCGAAGUAUAGGGGGUGACACCUGCCCGGUGCUGGAAGGUUAAGGAGAGGGGUUAGCGUAAGCGAAGCUCUGAACUGAAGCCCCAGUAAACGGCGGCCGUAACUAUAACGGUCCUAAGGUAGCGAAAUUCCUUGUCGGGUAAGUUCCGACCCGCACGAAAGGUGUAACGAUUUGGGCACUGUCUCAACCAGAGACUCGGUGAAAUUAUAGUACCUGUGAAGAUGCAGGUUACCCGCGACAGGACGGAAAGACCCCGUGGAGCUUUACUGUAGCCUGAUAUUGAAUUUUGGUACAGUUUGUACAGGAUAGGCGGGAGCCUUUGAAACCGGAGCGCUAGCUUCGGUGGAGGCGCUGGUGGGAUACCGCCCUGACUGUAUUGAAAUUCUAACCUACGGGUCUUAUCGACCCGGGAGACAGUGUCAGGUGGGCAGUUUGACUGGGGCGGUCGCCUCCUAAAGUGUAACGGAGGCGCCCAAAGGUUCCCUCAGAAUGGUUGGAAAUCAUUCGUAGAGUGCAAAGGCAUAAGGGAGCUUGACUGCGAGACCUACAAGUCGAGCAGGGACGAAAGUCGGGCUUAGUGAUCCGGUGGUUCCGCAUGGAAGGGCCAUCGCUCAACGGAUAAAAGCUACCCCGGGGAUAACAGGCUUAUCUCCCCCAAGAGUCCACAUCGACGGGGAGGUUUGGCACCUCGAUGUCGGCUCAUCGCAUCCUGGGGCUGUAGUCGGUCCCAAGGGUUGGGCUGUUCGCCCAUUAAAGCGGUACGCGAGCUGGGUUCAGAACGUCGUGAGACAGUUCGGUCCCUAUCCGUCGUGGGCGUAGGAAAUUUGAGAGGAGCUGUCCUUAGUACGAGAGGACCGGGAUGGACGCACCGCUGGUGUACCAGUUGUUCUGCCAAGGGCAUAGCUGGGUAGCUAUGUGCGGAAGGGAUAAGUGCUGAAAGCAUCUAAGCAUGAAGCCCCCCUCAAGAUGAGAUUUCCCAUAGCGUAAGCUAGUAAGAUCCCUGAAAGAUGAUCAGGUUGAUAGGUUCGAGGUGGAAGCAUGGUGACAUGUGGAGCUGACGAAUACUAAUAGAUCGAGGACUUAACCAU
rnacentral:rRNA from 1 species